ACACAUGCAGUCGAACGGUANACAGGUNNUUCGGAUGCUGACGAGUGGCGAACGGGUGAGUAAUACAUCGGAACGUGCCCGAUCGUGGGGGAUAACGAAGCGAAAGCUUUGCUAAUACCGCAUACGAUCUACGGAUGAAAGCAGGGGACCGCAAGGCCUUGCGCGAACGGAGCGGCCGAUGGCAGAUUAGGUAGUUGGUGGGAUAAAAGCUUACCAAGCCGACGAUCUGUAGCUGGUCUGAGAGGACGACCAGCCACACUGGGACUGAGACACGGCCCAGACUCCUACGGGAGGCAGCAGUGGGGAAUUUUGGACAAUGGGCGAAAGCCUGAUCCAGCCAUGCCGCGUGCAGGAUGAAGGCCUUCGGGUUGUAAACUGCUUUUGUACGGAACGAAAAGACUCUGGUUAAUACCUGGGGUCCAUGACGGUACCGUAAGAAUAAGCACCGGCUAACUACGUGCCAGCAGCCGCGGUAAUACGUAGGGUGCAAGCGUUAAUCGGAAUUACUGGGCGUAAAGCGUGCGCAGGCGGUUAUAUAAGACAGAUGUGAAAUCCCCGGGCUCAACCUGGGAACUGCAUUUGUGACUGUAUAGCUAGAGUACGGCAGAGGGGGAUGGAAUUCCGCGUGUAGCAGUGAAAUGCGUAGAUAUGCGGAGGAACACCGAUGGCGAA
rnacentral:rRNA from 1 species